rnacentral:misc_RNA from 1 species
GGGCCGUCACACCAUCGGUCACAGAGUGUCUCCAGGUGUAUAACAGAAUGGCUAACAAGCCAUAAUAGCAAUCGGCAUAGAGCCGAGUAUGUCAAAGAAUAGCAAAAUGGUCAAAGGCGAUAAUUUCAUAAAAUGGCACUAUAAGCCAUAAAUCACGAAAUGGCAUAAAGCCAUAAGCAGUACUGCAAUCGAAAUCUUAUUGGCAUACCAACCAAUCCAAACCAAUCAUAUUAGGCAUACUAAGGCAUAUUAACAUAGUUUUUUU